rnacentral:rRNA from 1 species
GACGAACGCUGGCGGCGUGCUUAACACAUGCAAGUCGAACGGAAAGGCCCUGCUUGCAGGGUACUCGAGUGGCGAACGGGUGAGUAACACGUGGGUGAUCUGCCCUGCACUUCGGGAUAAGCCUGGGAAACUGGGUCUAAUACCGGAUAGGAGCCAUUUUUAGUGUGAUGGUUGGAAAGUUUUUUCGGUGUAGGAUGAGCUCGCGGGCUAUCGGCUUGUUGGUUGGGUAAUGGCCUACCAAGGCGGCGACGGGUAGCCGGCCUGAGAGGGUGGACGGCCACAUUGGGACUGAGAUACGGCCCAGACUCCUACGGGAGGCAGCAGUGGGGAAUAUUGCACAAUGGGCGCAAGCCUGAUGCAGCGACGCCGCGUGGGGGAUGACGGCCUUCGGGUUGUAAACUCCGUUCGCUAGGGACGAAGCUUUUUGUGACGGUACCUAGAUAAGAAGCACCGGCUAACUACGUG